UGGUCAUUACCAAGGCGUUUUUAGAAGACAGUUUCUGAAUUGAUGUGGACAUCACUUUCAAAGAAGAUGCCUCAUUAGGCUUUGUCUUCGGCUAUUUUGCUAGAAACCCAGAAAAAUU
rnacentral:snoRNA from 1 species